GAGUAUAUUUUUCACAAUUUUAUAAGUGCUGAAAACUAUUUUCUCUUCAUUACUACAUGCAAAGGGCGAAAGAUGCCUAAAAUUAUGGAGUUUGUUUACGUUAUGAUAAUCUUUCUUUCCAUAUUUGUUGUUAUUACAAAUGUUAAUGCACAUAUUGAAUGUAAAAACGACUUUGAUUGUCCAAAAAACAUGUGUUUAGCACCUCGGGUUGCGUGGUGUGUGAAUAACAAAUGUGAAUGUGUUCUUACAUAUGGUCCCAAAUACUCUACAAUGAAGGAAAAAUUAUUGCAAAAAGAAAAGAUAUAAAAAUCUCUUGUGAUAAAACAUUCCAUGAGAUUUCAUUUAAUUAUUAAAUUGCCACCCAAUAAUUGGAUUUGUUUUGUUUUUA